CCCCAUAUACACUGUUCCUCCCGAAUCACCACCUCCUUUGCCCUUUUCACCUUCACCAUUUUUGGCCAAGCAUCUCACUGUGCUCUGAGCUCUAGCCAAGCUCCACCGCACGCCGAUGAUCACGCGGAGGACACUACGACUGAACAUUGAGACCGUCAACUGCCUCACCGGAGGUACGGUAAUACUAGAUGAGGGCUUCCAACAGUGGCAGGGAGAGAAAGGCAAGUUCACUCCCCUGUGUAGGUGUGAGAUCCAUGAGGUGAGGGAGACAUUUCCCAGGACAUUAUGGAGGGGCAUGCACACGGAGUAGACGAGGAGGCGAGAUGGUACCAUGACACAUUGUCCGAGGACCUUUAGGAGUGUUGUGAAGACUCUUGUUUCUGUAGAGUCUAUUCUUUACACGUAGGAGGAGAAGUGUUGGUGUCUCUAUUUUCCUUUUUUCCUUUACUCAAACUCUUUGGAUCUUGAAACUAUGGUUUGGGUUGGUUAUGGUGGUUCAUGUAUGAUGAGAUUAUUAUUUUUUACUAUGGUUUUUUAACAACAA